UAACUCCUUGAGCUGGUUAACCCUAGUGACGGUUUUGAGAACUUCAGCGUCCCUGCCGCUACUCCUGCCGAGAAGAUAAAGAGCGGCGGCGCUGAGGCAGCAGGUAACCCCACCCCAAUGAAUCAUCUUCCUAACAAUGCCUAAUGUUGGAGUUUCAAGGGUUAUGGAAUUAAAUAUUGGGGAUCAGGAAGGGAUGGAAUAAUAGUAGCAAUCGAAUCUGGAUUUACACAGAGCGGUGCGAGACGAUGGCGACAAUCUUCCGCUGCUGGCGAGAGCUAUGAGUUUGUUGAUAUCAAGGAAGCGCUUCAAGGAAUUAGAGACUGAUGGAGUAAUCUGUGAAUCGAAAGAAGGCGAGAAUUUCAGAACGUUGUGCAAUUGGAUGAUGAUUCUUUGCUUCGAUCUCUCUCUCUCUCUCUCUCUCUCUCUCUCUCUCUCUCUCAGGGUUUGGGGGCAAGAGGAGGGCGAUAAAAGUCAAGCCGCGGAAGCAAGGUAGCUGAUGACGUGGCCACUUCCCAAUAUUCGUUUGCGUGGGCCUACAUGUUUUUAUAUUUAAGCCCAACUAGGUACUAAAGUCUUUGUUAAAUAAGUGUUUUAUAUACAAAAAGAAGACUAUCAUCACGAUACUAAAACGGCAAUAAGAAGCUCUCUGAACUAUGUCACGUCGUUUAAAAUAAUUAUCCAAUGAGAAAAUUUGUUUUCGCCACAUCACUUUCGUUUUUUUUACUAAAGAAGAGUAAAGUCAAUGUUAUGCCGUGGCUUUUCCACUUCGUGUUCGUCUCCAAACUCAGAAUUUUCAAUUACCUUGAGACAAUAUUGAUCAAUCAAUGAUUAUCUCUAAAAUCUUCUUGAUUGUUUCGUUUCACCUCCACCCAAAAUCAAGUUGGCUGUAGAAACGCAUCUCGAAAUCGUUUUCAAACGGAAUUGGUUUUAUAUUUUGUUGGGGCUUAUGUUUUUGUAGGCAAAUCCUUGCGACUUGAUCUUCGCGAUUGCAUAUUUUGGUCCAAGUUGUGGUUCAUAAUGAUCUAUCAAUUAAAACACAAGCAGAAGAGUGGAUGCUUAUUGAUUGAUCAAGAUUCAGAUACCAUGUCAACUUAAUCUUUCCAUCGUUGAGUUUCUUGGAUUUCUAGCGACUAAUUAUUGGGGGUUUUUCUUAGCGCUUUAUAUGAUUAUGUAAUUUAAAUACUCGAUAUUGACUUCUCUCUUUCCUUCUCCAGUUUCCAUCAAAAUCGAUUCUUUUUUUUCUAUCUCCAAUAUCGUCCUUGACAGCCUGUCAUACAUGCCAGUAACAGAACUUAAAAUCAAACUCUUCAUCAAGUCUGCCUCUGUAGAAAGAUCAAUCCAGCAUUCUACAAAUACUAUUUCUGAGAAAUUUUCAUAUAACAAAGAAAAAAAAAACACUAAGAAUACGACAUACCUCACCAACAACAGUUAGAGGCAUUCCAGUAGGAAGAACGCGCUCAAUGCGCUUUACUCCAAGCAUCUGAAACAUAACAAUACCCGCUUAAGCAAAUAAAGAGGUCAGCAAAAAAGCAACCCGUAUAGAAAAGCAGAAAACCUUAAGGCCUUGGAGAUAAUCAAGUGUUCCCCGUACAAGGGAACGCCCUGACUCUUCAAAGACUUCACUUCCAACAGUCAAGGCAAAGCCUGUUGCACCACGAGCUCCCACUACAUUCAGACGACUUGUCCCAUCAUCCUAUUCACAAACAAAUUUCGAAAAUGUGGGAGAUGGUUUUAAAGAAGCAUCCAAUCACAGCUGCAAAAGAGUAUUGUUACUAUAUUUGACUUACCAGGAACCAAGGAACCUCCUUGCUCAUAGAUAGCAUCAAAGCACUAUCUUGAACCCAAGAACCAGUCUCAUUGUGCUUCAGAAAAUGUUGCUCCGCCUGAAAUACAUCAAUAUGAUUGCUAUAGUUUCACAUACACCUAACCAAACACAAACUAGAUUAAUAAUAAGUAGACACAUACCGUUUCCUCGACGAUAACGCCGCGUAUGCCACUAUGCUCGCACUUGAUAGGUGUGUCGGAGCCAACUCUUCCAGACACUGCCACAAUGAAAGGCAGGAGCUUGCUGCUAUCUAAUUCUAGCAAUUGCGCUGCAAAAUACAGAGAAAGCAGUAUCAACAAUCAUUGAACAGAUAAAAAAAAAAACAGAGAGUAGAAGAAUGAAUACCUAACUCCUUGAGCUGGUUAACCCUAGUGACGGUUUUGAGAACUUCAGCGUCCCUGCCGCUACUCCUGCCGAGAAGAUAAAGAGCGGCGGCGCUGAGGCAGCAGGUAACCCCACCCCAAUGAAUCAUCUUCCUAACAAUGCCUAAUGUUGGAGUUUCAAGGGUUAUGGAAUUAAAUAUUGGGGAUCAGGAAGGGAUGGAAUAAUAGUAGCAAUCGAAUCUGGAUUUACA
rnacentral:lncRNA from 1 species